AUGGCGGAGAUUGUGAUUCUUCUAGCCAUCAAAAAGAUCGGAAUUGCCUUGGCAAGUGGAGCGGCAAACCAUGUCAGCGCGCAGUUUGCAAAGUGCAAGACACAGCUAUUGGAGCUACAGGGCAGUAUGAGUCGUGUUGCGAGGGAGCUUCGCGUAAUGCAUGAUGUUCUCUGUCACAUGGACAUUCGAAACCGCAACAGUCAAGUAUAUGACGGCUGGUUGGAGGAGGUACGGAAAGUAGCACAUGUGAUGGAGGACAUGGUGGACGAGUACUUGUAUCUAGUAGGACAGAAACAUGAUACAUGGUCUUGCUUUUACCUCAAAAGGGUGUUCAGAAAACGAAGUUCUCUGCUUUCUAUGAACCAGAUAGCUGUCAAGGUGAAAGAAAUAGAGAAAGACCUUACUCACCUGUCAGAGACAAAAACCCGUUGGGUUCCCAUGAUAAACAACGGGGAUAGUGGCAGCACUAAUUACAUUGUCAAGAGGUCCCAAGAUCUAGCAAAAAUUUCACGUUCCCUUGACGAAGAAGAUCUAGUGGGGGUGGAAAAAAACAGAGAAAAACUUGAGCAGUGGUUGGCAGGCGAUGAUUUUGGAUACUCUGUAAUAGCCCUGCUUGGAAUGGGAGGUCUUGGUAAAACUGCUUUAGCUGCAAAUGUGUACAAGAAGGCAAGGGAGAAAUUCCAGUGCCAGGCCUGGAUCUCCGUCUCCCAAACUUAUUCUAGAGAAGAUGUCUUGAAGAAUAUAAGCAAGGAACUUUUCAAAGAUAAUGUCAGUGUUCUAUCUAAAACUGCAGCUAUGGACAUCACAUGCCUUGAAGAGACAAUGAAGAGUUUUCUGGAGCAACAAAAAUAUCUGAUCAUAUUGGAUGAUGUUUGGACUCCAGAAACAUUUGAUGAUUUGUCUAGGGUGCUUACUAAUAAUGAUAAAGGUAGUAGAAUUAUAAUGACAACAAGGGAAGGCCAUGUUGCUGCACUUGCCUCUCCAGGACACAUCUUAACACUAGCAGCUUUACCAGAAGAUAAGGCGUGGGAUCUCUUCUGUAAAAAAGCCUUUCCAAGAAAUACUGAUCAUGAAUGUCCUGUGGAGUUGAAGCCUUUGUCCGAACAAAUAGUUAACAAAUGCAAAGGCUUGCCCCUUGUUAUUGUAUUAGUUGGUAGCCUUUUGUGUGUGUGCGAGAAAACUGUGGAAGAAUGGAGAAGAAUUAAUGAUCAAUUGAGUUGGGAGCUAAAUAACAAUUCAAGGUUUGAUCACAUAAGGAAUGUUUUGCAUCUGAGCUUCAUCUACCUUCCAACACACUUGAAAAGUUGCUUCCUGUACUGCAGCUUAUUUCCAGAAGACUAUCUUCUCAAAAGGAAACAACUUGUACGGUUAUGGAUAGCAGAGGGGUUCAUCGAGGGAAGGGGUGAAAGCACAUUAGAAGAAGUGGCAGAAGGCUAUCUGAAGGAGUUGAUUGAUAGAAACAUGCUGCAACUUGUUGAAAGGAAUAAUUUUGGUAGGAUGAAAAGAUUCAGAAUGCAUGACAUCUUACGUGAAUUGGCAGUUGACUUGUGCCAGAAGAACUGUUUUGGUACUAUAUACGAGGAUAAGUGUGGGGGUUCUCUACAGAUGGAUGGACGUCGAUUGGUAAUGCAUAGAGUGAAGAAGGAUAUUCAGCAGUCAUUUUCUAGCAUGCACCACCUUCGAACUGUCAUUACACUGGAUGGCUGCAUGCCAUCAUUCACUCUACUUCCUCUGCUAUGUAACAAAUCAAGAUAUAUGACAGUGCUAGAAUUAAGUGGUUUACCUAUCGAGAAGCUUCCAGAUGCUAUUGGUGAUCUUUUUAAUCUCCGCCAUUUGUGUUUACGUGAUACAAAAGUGAAGGUGCUCCCGAAGUCUGUUGAGAAGCUUUCAAAUUUGUUGACACUGGACCUUCAUGGAUCUGACAUACAUGAGUUGCCUAGUGGGAUCGGGAAACUGAAGAAGCUUAGGCACUUAUUUGCUGAGAAAACAAUUGACCCAGAUUGGAGAGAGAUUCAAUGUUGCAGUGGUAUGUGUAUCCCCAAAGGUCUUGGAAAUCUAACAAAUCUACAGACAUUACAAGCAUUGGAAGCACAAGAUGAGUCUGUCAGACAUUUAUGGGAGCUGACGCAACUGAGAAGUUUGAGGUUAUGGAAUGUGAAAGGAAACUACUGUGGCCGCAUCGGUGAGUCUCUAGUUCGGAUGCGCUAUUUGUCCAACCUAGAUGUGAAUGCAAGUGCUGAGAACCAGGUUCUCUUGUUGAAUGUCUGCCUGCCAAGCCUGCAAAAGCUGUAUUUGAGAGGACGACUAGCGGAAGGGGCUUUUGAGGAAUCACCUCUCUUCCAAGCUAUUGGGGGGCAGAACUUGCAUGUCUUGAAUCUAUCUUUAUCACAAUUGAGAGAAGACCCCCUGCCAUCCCUUUCUCGGUUGCCAAAUUUGACGCGUCUACAAUUCACUAGAGCAUACAACGGAGAGCAGCUGACAUUUUGCACAGGGUGGUUUCCCAAGCUAAAGAUUCUCGUUCUAAGAGACAUGCCUAAUCUGAAUCGUCUAGAGAUACAUCAAGGUGCCAUGGCGAGCCUGGAAAGAUUAGUCUUAGCCAACCUCAGUGGUAUGAUGGAGGUGCCACCUGGCAUUGAGUUUCUCAUGCCCCUCCAGCGUCUGGUCUUCCAGGAAAUCACCAAUGACUUCUUGACAUUGUUGCGUGAGUGUUCUGCAAUUCGAGGGGCCCAUGCGGUGUAUUCUCUCCGAUAUUGA
rnacentral:rRNA from 1 species